AGUGAACGCUGGCGGUAGGCCUAACACAUGCAAGUCGAACGGCAGCACAGUAAGAGCUUGCUCCUACGGGUGGCGAGUGGCGGACGGGUGAGGAAUACAUCGGAAUCUACUUUUUCGUGGGGGAUAACGUAGGGAAACUUACGCUAAUACCGCAUACGACCUACGGGUGAAAGCAGGAGAUCUUCGGACCUUGCGUGAUUGAAUGAGCCGAUGUCGGAUUAGCUAGUUGGCGGGGUAAAGGCCCACCAAGGCGACGAUCCGUAGCUGGUCUGAGAGGAUGAUCAGCCACACUGGAACUGAGACACGGUCCAGACUCCUACGGGAGGCAGCAGUGGGGAAUAUUGGACAAUGGGCGCAAGCCUGAUCCAGCCAUACCGCGUGGGUGAAGAAGGCCUUCGGGUUGUAAAGCCCUUUUGUUGGGAAAGAAAAGCAGCAGGUUAAUACCCCGCUGUUCUGACGGUACCCAAAGAAUAAGCACCGGCUAACUUCGUG
rnacentral:rRNA from 1 species